AGUUAAUUAGUUGUGCGUGUACAUAUGUGAUCGGCUUGCAGGACGAUGCGACGACAAGCUCGACUUUGUUUCAUCUAUUUCCAUAUUCUUUUUGCGUCUUGUAGAGAAGUCGGCCCGUGGGAGGAUGAGCUCGUGGCGUGGCGUCGUGAUAGCAACCCCCUUCCACGAGGAGGAGGAGGAGGUUGAUCCCUUCUAGGUUUAUCGUCUAAGGAUUUUGUCAGAUCCGAUGCGGUGCGGUUACUUCGGGUGGCUUUUUCUGGUAGCAGUGACAGAGGCAUGCAAUGGAAGGUCUCCCUAAGUUACUUAAAGGCAAGGAUUUGCUCUUUUGUUAAUGGCUAUUGUCUAGGGAGAUGUUUUGUACUCACCCAUGGAUGGUCAUCAAGUUCAAAGCAAUGUUUCUGCAGAGGGUGACUCAGUUGUGCAAGUAGAACACGAGGAACUGAGACAAAAUGUAAUUUUCACGACAAUUUCUCUCUCAUUCAUCAAUUGCCAAAUUACUAUGAGCUCAGAAGGUAAAAGGGAAGAGCUCAUGCCUUCACUGCCUCCGUAGCUACCAAAAGGCCUGUGUCAGCCUCAGGAGCCGCUGCACCCCUGAAGAGCAAGAUUGCUAGGCUUCCUAUGUUGAAGUAGAUGAAACAACCACAAUGGUGGGUGACAAAGGAACCAAAAUCUGUUCCCACAAUGCAUUGCCACCCUGGACCAUAUGACCUGUCAAACUCCUGCAGUUUUACAAAUUCCAUUGUAAGAGGAAGAGGAAACAAGACAAUGAAUGGAUGAGUCUUUGUUAGUUAGCCAAGAUACUCGAAAUUACCUUCUUGAUGAAACAGGCUAUCUCAGUGGAGUCUGUGACAUCAAAUUCAUCCAGUGCCUUCCCAGCCAAACGGAGAGCAUCCUGCUGCAUGGUUUGCAGCAUAUCGGUCUCUCCGAUGAUUGCCUGGCUUUCCAGCAUAGUUGCGUGUUUGCUCUGUUAGGUUUUUCAGGGAGAAGGAUUGUUAGUUGUGGGGGAAGGAGAAGCGGUGGUCUCAAUUAUAUCAUACUGGGAUAUGGAGGUAACAUUCAUGGGUGCUGGUGGACGGGCCACGUCUGUUGAAGAUGGAUCUUGUGGCCAGUAGUUGACAUUCCGGAAUAUACCAAUCAGCCCUUUGUAAAAAUGAAGAUAUAUGAGGCCUUGGCGGCAGGGAUCUAAAAUAUUCUUUAGACAAUGGCCAUUGGAUUUGUUCUGCCAGAUUAUGCAUGGAGGUCCCUGGCCGACUCUUCUUCUGAUGAUUUUGUCUCUUUGUUUGCAGCAGUCCCUUCGUUCAUUCAGUAUUUCUAUGGUAUGAUAGAAGCAGUGGUGAUGUGUGGGUGAUGUCAGACAAUGGAUUUUCCAAGGAAGGAUGCCAGUCUGAACAUAUGCUUCGAAGGUAUGGGGUCUAGAAAUUUAGUACAAGCUUCUGCUUCAUAGAUUUAACUUGUGGCUAGAACUGUCUUAAAGGGGGACCUCUGGAAUAGUAUCUAUAGAUUAAGAGUGGUGAUGCUGGAAAUCCGUGGAAGCAGGAAGCCCACUAUUUUUGCUCACUUUUCCAGUGGCUUGAAAUGACAUGCAACUGGUUUGAUUCUUCUAUUCCUUUGAUUUCUCUCUCUCUCUCUCUCUCUCUCUCUCAAGAAUGCUCGUGUUACUUUGUUGGUGUCCUGCACAUCUGAUAUUUGUGGGCAUACUUUAUAAUAUUCAUCAAUUUUGUCCCCCAUAUUUCCUGCAAAAUGGCAACUGAUGAGCAGGUGGAGAAGACUGCAGCGCAUUCAGAGCUGAUCGACGAUAUAUUGCAGGCUACAAAAGUGACUGCAGCUGAGACAGGUGUUGGCCGACGAGCAUAGUAGCCACGAGUCCCUUCCUCAGUAGUGUGAUCUUGAUGUGAUCGUCUCCGAGUUGGGAAGCGAAUCAUGUGGUGGAUCCUGGUGAGAUGCUCACCAACUAUUUGAUUCAAUGCUUCCAUGAGCCAGCGGUAGAAGCCAAAGAAACGACGCCCAUCCGAGCUCGACUGCAGGCCACAGCUGUGCUUUUCUAUCGCAUGAGGACUCGACGCCGACUUGCGUGUUUGUUGCUCUCCCAUGUAUACAAGUCAAGCUGUAUCUUCGGUGGAUCAAUGUGAUCUCCCUCGGCUUGCUUGGAAUUUGUAGGCGACAGUGCAUCUGCUGCCGAUGUCCCAAAUUGACCGCAAUGUGGGUUGACUUCAUGCGGCCGGUGGUACUCGGCUGGCAAUCCAAUGGAUGGACUUGGCGCCUCCCCAUCAAGAACUAUCUAUCAUCUGAUAGCACCUAUCUUUACUGUCUUAAAAUCCAGUGAAUAUUUAGUUUUGAUCGGAGAACUGAUGGUCCUCAUCUCUCACGCAAUAAGCAGUUAAUAGAUUCAAAUACUCGGCUACUAAUCUUGGUGCGAUCAAUUGUCAACAGGCGUUCAUGGAUUCCCCAGAAUGUUUCAGUGCAUCCGAGAGAGAUUGCUUGUUACAAGACUUAAGAUGGCACAAGUGUGGGAUGGAGGAAAGAAAAAUCCAACCAAACCACCCGGUUUCUCCGGGCAUGGGAACACAAAGAAUCCGCAGUCAAAAAAGAUAGAAGCCACAAGGGGGUUUCAUUCCAUGAACAGAGUCCCCUGGUCUCGUAACAUGUCCAUGUUGGAAUAAUGCCAGAGCUUCCGCUGAUUGACUUCUUGACUUGUAUCGUAGUUAUUACGUGUCUUUUGAUAGGAAGAUGAUAUGUCUGCUGUUUCCCUGUUCUAUGGCGUCUCACCUGUCCAUAUAUGACAUGGUAGACUUUGGUGGCGAGCCUCCAAAGAGUCAAGCAUCUCAUUCCGAUCCGCUUUCUUUCGUAUAUAAUUGGUGUCUUGAAAGCUACGUGAUGAGUAGGAUAUGUAUCCCUCUCGAGUUAGUAGUAAUAUAAAACGUUGGAUGGA